rnacentral:rRNA from 1 species
GACGAACGCUGGCGGCGUGCUUAACACAUGCAAGUCGAACGGAAAGGCCCUGCUUUUGUGGGGUGCUCGAGUGGCGAACGGGUGAGUAACACGUGAGUAACCUGCCCUUGACUUUGGGAUAACAUCAGGAAACUGGGGCUAAUACCGGAUAGGAUCUCCUGCUGCAUGGUGGGGGUUGGAAAGUGUCGGCGGUUGGGGAUCGACUCGCGGCUUAUCAGCUUGUUGGUGGGGUAGUGGCUUACCAAGGCUUUGACGGGUAGCCGGCCUGAGAGGGUGACCGGCCACAUUGGGACUGCGAUACGGCGCAGACUCCUACGGGAGGCAGCAGUGGGGAGUAUCGCAGAAUGGGCGGGAGCCUGAUGCAGCAACGCCGCGUGCGGGAUGACGGCCUUCGGGUUGUAAACCGAUUUGGCCUGUGACGAAGCGUGAGUGACGGUAAUGGGUAAAGAAGCACCGGCUAACUACGUG